AACAAGUCUGACAGUAUAACUCUGAAUCACAUUCAACUUCAUAUAUAUAUAUGCUGGGUGAAGAAGUCCAGAAAACCUGUCUUUCCCUCUUCUACUUAUAACACCCGAGUGUACAGAAUUUACGAGUAUAAGCCAAACUGUGAGACUAUGCCAGCUCAAGCAUCUUUCUUUACCCCAAGAAGGUUUUGUUUGAUAACUGUUCCAUUACGACAAGUAAAUCUGGAUCUUAAAUGCCCGUAUUCCAGGAACACUGAAAGCAAAAAUAAAAAGGAGUCCUGAUGCCUGAGGAUCUGCUGAGGCCAAUGGAGAUGCGAGGCACCUGGAGUACCUGUGUUUUGUUUCUCUAGGUAGCUCUGUUCUGCCGUGUGCAGUUACUGGUCACCCUCUAUUAUCUUUUUUUACCAGAGAAAUUAUGUAUAAGCAAAAUCUAAAGAAGAAUUUCUGAAUCUGUAGAAAAGUAUACUUGAUGCCACUGGUCUAUUUCCUGAAACAUUGUUUGCAUAUAGUCUAGGGUUAUUGAUCAAUGAUGCUGUGCAUGUGCAAGGCCCUAGAUUUGAUUCCAUGCCCUACCUAAAGUAUAAAUUAAAAUACAACUAUACUAACUUACAGCCUCACAAAUCCAGUCUCCACCAGACUUUAACAUUGUCUUCUGGAAGCUUCUGAAAACUUGGCAUUUGAAAUAUUACAUUUGUUGCUGGGCUGUGUUGUGAACUGCUUCUACACAUUUAGACGAUGUCUUGGGGCAGAAAUAAGACUAGCUGCUGAAAUAAUGUUUGCUUUCAAAGUACUAGCAUUUGAAGUGUGGAAUGAGCCUUGCCUUCUGGCCCUUGGGCCCAGAGAACUUAAGGAAAUCUAAUGAUUCAAGAUUUGUGAGGACAACAACCCAGAAGUUACCACUGCAAGUCUCAGGAUCUACCCAGCUUUCUACUUUGGACCUAUUCUGGGUUUAUACUACCCCAGUAUGAAGCCCUGCAGUUGACCCAUAGCUCACUUUCCCCUGUGGUUACAGGAGAUAAAACUUGCUUUGAAUUUGUUAAAGGAGCACUUUGACUUCCACACUUUUCGUUAAAUAGUGUGGAAUCUUUAAGGUAGAUUUCUCUGGUACAUUUCUUGCAGCUAGUAAAAGCGAUUUGACUCUGCCGGCUGGAUAAUUCCUAAUGAACAGGGCUCAUAUGGUCUCACAAAGACUGAAGAAAAAGCGCAGGGGCUCCAUGAGUCCGUCUGUAUCAGGAUUUCCCAGUCAAGGGUAUUUCCAUCGUACCACUGUAGGAUGCGUCCUCCUACACCAAUCAUUAAUCAAGAAAAAUACACCACAGACUUCCUAUGGGCCAAUCUGAUGGAGGCAUUUUUCUCAAUUGACGUUCCCUGUCUUCUCAGAUAACUAGAACCAGGAUGUAUCGACGGAUAGAUUGAUAAACUGUGCAGUAACGGGUUGGAUCAACCUUAUUUAUACUCAUUACUUCCAAGAUUCAUUUAUUCCAUCUAAUAGGGCCCAUAAAACAAGUAAUCUUCAUUGGUCAGUACAAUGACUAUAUGCUGAAAAUAAGCGUUGAAUAUUUUAAAGUGUCACUGAGUCCCAGAAUUGCUUGGUCAAAGGUGAUUUUUAUUGCUUUAUCAGAUCAGCAGAUUCCAGAGAAGACUGCAAGUGAAAACCAUUAGCAACUAGCCAGCAUGCACUGGAGCCAGAGACUAUGGCAUUAACCUACUAAGGGGAACUUGGCAGAGCGCCAACAGAGCAGGCUACAGGAAGAUCAACAAAAAUUGAAAAUUGAGCUGAUUCAUAUUUCAGACCACCCAAAAUACUGAGGGUUUCUAGGAAUUGAAAUACUAGGAACAACAAAAAGAAAUCAUCAAGUGCUUAGAUUUUCAGACUGCAAAAGAAAUGCAGUUACAUUAAAAGGGAUACUUUGGAAAAUACGUAUGCUAAGAAUAAGUUAGCCUCAGAAAAUAGAAACGUAUGUCAUAGUUAAUACACAAAAUUCAAUGGAGCAAUUAGAAGAUGAACCAAGAAAAUUUCUCAAAACUGCAAUAAAAAAUUUUAGAAAAUAGGCUGAAUGGAAGUAUGAAAGUUCAGGAUAUUUCACUAUUUGACAGAUUUUUUUCAAAAAACACAUAUCAAAAUAAAUGUAAAAAGAAAAAUAUUUGAGACAAGAAGGGGGAAAGGGGAAAAUGAUCAGGUAUUGGAAGGGGACAGGAUUGAAAGAAUGAGGGCCAGCAGAAAGAACGGAAACAGCCAUCCUCGGGAGGUAGGAGGUGGGGGGACCCUCUAGAACGUACCAGAGACCUGGGAGUUAAGAGACUCUAAGGACUCAAAGGACAUUAGAUGAGAUGCCCUACAGUGGGGAAAGGGAACUUGUAGAGUCCACCUCUAGUAGAAAGACAGGGCAACA
ensembl:lncRNA